rnacentral:rRNA from 1 species
UUACCAGACUCCUACGGGAGGCAGCAGUGAGGAAUAUUGGUCAAUGGUCGGGAGACUGAACCAGCCAAGCCGCGUGAGGGAUGAAGGUACAGAGUAUCGUAAACCUCUUUUGUCAGGGAACAAAGGCGGGGACGUGUCCCCGGAUGAGUGUACCUGAAGAAAAAGCAUCGGCUAACUCCGUGCCAGCAGCCGCGGUAAUACGGAGGAUGCGAGCGUUAUCCGGAUUUAUUGGGUUUAAAGGGUGCGUAGGCGGAAUGCCAAGUCAGGGGUAAAAUGGGGGGGCUCAACCCCGACAAGCCGUUGAAACUGGCUUGCUAGAGUGGGCGAGAAGUAUGCGGAAUGCGUGGUGUAGCGGUGAAAUGCAUAGAUAUCACGCAGAACUCCGAUUGCGAAGGCAGCGUACCGGCGCCCAACUGACGCUGAAGCACGAAGGCGUGGGUAUCGAACAGGAUUAGAUACCCGGGUAAC